rnacentral:rRNA from 1 species
CUUACCAAGGCUUGACAUCCUCUUGAAAAGCGUAGAGAUACGCUCCCUCUUCGGAGCAAGGGAGACAGGUGGUGCAUGGUUGUCGUCAGCUCGUGUCGUGAGAUGUUGGGUUAAGUCCCGCAACGAGCGCAACCCCUAUUAUUAGUUGCCAGCACUUCGGGUGGGCACUCUAAUGAGACUGCCGGUGAUAAACCGGAGGAAGGUGGGGAUGACGUCAAAUCAUCAUGCCCCUUAUGUCUUGGGCUACACACGUGCUACAAUGGUCGGUACAACGGGAUGCGAAGGAGCGAUCUGGAGCGAAUCCCAAGAAGCCGAUCUCAGUUCGGAUUGUAGGCUGCAACUCGCCUGCAUGAAGUUGGAGUUGCUAGUAAUCGCGAAUCAG